GAAUAAACGGGAUGGAAGCGGCAUCCCCCGAUCCUUCAUCGGGGAUAUAGCGAACAGCCCGACCGGAU
rnacentral:sRNA from 1 species